GAAAGUGAGGGAGUUUUGACCAACAACAAGGUUGGCACAGCAACCAUACUUCUCAUGAUGAAGUAUUACAAGGAAGAUGAAGACUCCCUCUUUGUCUUAGCAGAUGAAACAUCUACCAGGAUGUCCCUUGAAGCAGAGAGCAACCUGCCAAGCACCCCAAGGCUGAUUAUGCUUGGUUGUUGGACAUGUGUCUCAGUGAACCCAGCAAGGUAACAAUAUCAAAUUUCACAUGACAUAUUACUGAUCAACAUAGUAGUCUAGCUACACCAACAGCAGAAAUACUGAAGUCAAUACUGUAAAGUUUAACAGCAGCACAAACUAUAAACUCCAAAAUAACCAUACAGUUGAUUCAUCUCCGGUAAUUUAAUUGGGCUGACUCUUUGUUAGGUGUGUUUAAUGUGCAGAAUAAUUCCCAAUUAUGUACAAUUCUAAUAUGUUAAAACGGACUUAUGUACAUAAGGCCAUUAAUAAUUAACUGUACGUAGCUAUUUGCUUUAUGACUAU